UUGGCCAAUUUACACCCAUACCCUAUCUCCUUUCUCAGUCCACCAUUUCUCCUGACAUUCAUUUGCACCCUGUCCAUAACUACCAACCAACGAUCAUUAACCAUUUCCCUCCGACCAGCAAAACAUCCCAUUCCACCGACUAGUGAGCCCACUACACCGAUCGAUGCCCCCGAUGCACCCACUACACCGAGGAACCCACCUCCGACGCACAACCUAACAUGUAGCUUCAAUGGCUUUUCAACUCUAGGCCACCAUGGAUACACAAAGUCUGGAAGGAUGAUGAAGAAGAAUCUUUGGGAACUAAAAGAACAGGCGCUUCCGAAAUGCUACAGGCUCUAAGAGAAGCCGAGCUGCUAAACUUUAUAAUUUGUCUAAAAGGGUGAGCAAAUUCUUCAAAUUUUUGCAGUGGGUAUUCUGUUAAUUUGUGUUUACAUAUAGCAUGUUGUUAGUUAUACAAUAGGCCUUCUUUGUCCAAUUUAGAUUUACUUUUGAGGUAUCUUUGGUUGGACAAUGGGUGAGCUACCUAGCUUUUGGAUAAUACUUUUCAGUUAAUGUGAAGAAAAGGGGAAAAGGGGCAUAGGAGAAAACAUGAAGUGGCUGCAGUAAAUAUGUUGGGAAGUAUAACCACAAUGAAGUAUGAUGAAUACUCCCCAUAUUGAGAUCGAUUUUCAUGACACUGUAAGUGAGCCCCAAGUUCCUGCAAUGAAGAUCCCUUUGGUUUCACUAUGGCUUUCUUGAAUGAAAAUGGAAGUGUCUUUGCAUAUCAAUGCAAAGGGAAGAAAAAUGUGAGCACCCUCAUGUUAUGUACCUUCCAGUUAAAAUAUUGUGGUAUAUGCGAUUUAAAGAAGUAAGCGCUGACACGAGGUUCUUCAUCUUCUUAAGGUGCAGUUGGGUUCAUUCAUUUUGGAGCAAUAAGCGGCCAAGUUACUGCCAAUGAGGUAGUGGUGGAGUGGUUGGGGAAGGAAUUAGUGUUCCGAGUGGUUCGACUCUUACUCUCCCCAUUAUUUUCUGCGGCAUCCAGGUGAAGGGGCGAAUAUGGGCGGCACCGGUUCGUCUUGGAUGGGAGGCGAGGUUUUACCGAUUAUUUCACUGUCGUGCCUUCGGGCGGGUGGAGGUCGGGUUUCCGCGCAUCUGGGAGAGCCAAGGGGCUGGCGGCAGUCGAGUAGUCGAUCUUGGCCACAGCGCCUGGUGUCACAGUGGUUGGCACGUUGUUCCUUUCCGUUCAAAAAAGAGGCCAAGUUACUAAUAGCCAUAGCUUUGCUAAAAGGGUGAGGUAUAGAAAAUAAGUGAAAAGAUGAAGCUGCUACAAUCCAGUGUUCUAGGUUGUGACAAAGUACAAAGGAAUUCUUCACAAUGAUCAUGUACUUGCAAUCAAAAGAACUCGACGGGGAUCGUUAGAGGGUGCACAAUAAUUUAAAAAUGAUAUAAAAAUUAAUGUCGAGAAUCCCUUCAAUUCACAGCCUGACUCACAUGAAAAACUAGAAGAAACCAAGUUGUCAAAAUCAUCCACAAGACGACCAGCAUUUUUGUAUAGGUUGAAGGUGACAUUCAGGUCCUUGUCCCAUUAGUUGCAUGAAAAAAGUGUAAUGAGAGAAUACAAGGCAAGUGACUCAUUCAUACCCACAAUUAACAUUUUGUAGAUCUUGAUAUUGGAAUAGUGUACUUGUAUGUUGUAACAUUACUCUCUUAUCUUCCAAUUUAUUGAAUACAAAUAAUAGUCAUUCUUUUGUAAUAAUC